CAGCAGCCGCGGUAAUACGUAGGGUGCGAGCGUUAAUCGGAUUUACUGGGCAUAAAGCGUGCGCAGGCGGCCCGUUAAGACAGGUGUGAAAUCCCUGGGCUCAACCUAGGAAUUGCGCUUGUGACUGGCGGGCUCGAGUACGGUAGAGGGGGGUGGAAUUCCUGGUGUAGCAGUGAAAUGCGUAGAGAUCAGGAGGAACACCGAUGGCGAAGGCAGCCCCCUGGGCCUGUACUGACGCUCAUGCACGAAAGCGUGGGGAGCAAACAGGAUUAGAUACCCUGGUAGUCCACGCCCUAAACGAUGGGUACUAGCCGUUUGGUGCGCGAUAGCGCUGAGUGGCGAAGCUAACGCGUGAAGUACCCCGCCUGGGGAGUACGGCCGCAAGGUUGAAACUUAAAGGAAUUGGCGGG
rnacentral:rRNA from 1 species